ACCAAUCAUUUUAUAUCAUUUUCAGAGUUGACUUUGAUGGUGAAACUAUUCCUUCCCAAGAGUUUUUGACCUACUUUAUCCUAGGAGCUGAAGUUCUGAACUUUGACACAAUUCCAAAUUUGACCUUCCUGAAAGAGAAUUUUGAGAUAGUUAUGACAGAGAAAUGCCCAGCUGGUGAAGUUGUCAGAGAUGGACAGUGUAUUGAGUGUGGACCAGGUAACUAUUUCCGGUACACCGACAACACCAACACAACUGCUAUCUGCGAUGACUGCCCAUUCGGAUUUUAUCAAGACUUAAGUGGCGCGUCAAGCUGUAAACAGUGUACAACUGGACUCACAACAGAACUGAACGGAGAAUUUUCAUCAUCGAGCU